rnacentral:rRNA from 1 species
GAGUUUGAUCCUGGCUCAGGACGAACGCUGGCGGCGUGCUUAACACAUGCAAGUCGAACGGUGAUCCCUGGCUUGCUGGGGUGAUCAGUGGCGAACGGGUGAGUAACACGUGAGUAACCUGCCCAUGGCUCUGGGAUAACCUGGGGAAACCGAGGCUAAUACCGGAUAUGACGCGCACAGGCAUCUGUUGCGUGUGGAAAGUUUUUCGGCCAUGGAUGGGCUCGCGGCCUAUCAGCUUGUUGGUGGGGUAAUGGCCUACCAAGGCGACGACGGGUAGCCGGCCUGAGAGGGCGAUCGGCCACACUGGGACUGAGACACGGCCCAGACUCCUACGGGAGGCAGCAGUGGGGAAUAUUGCGCAAUGGGCGAAAGCCUGACGCAGCGACGCCGCGUGAGGGAUGAAGGCCUUCGGUUGUAACCGUACUUUCUAGCUCUGACGAAG